rnacentral:rRNA from 1 species
UAAGGGCGCACGGUGGAUGCCUUGGCACUAGAAGCCGAUGAAGGACGUUACUAACGACGAUAUGCUUUGGGGAGCUGUAAGUAAGCUUUGAUCCAGAGAUUUCCGAAUGGGGAAACCCAGCAUGAGUUAUGUCAUGUUAUCGAUAUGUGAAUACAUAGCAUAUCAGAAGGCACACCCGGAGAACUGAAACAUCUUAGUACCCGGAGGAAGAGAAAGAAAAUUCGAUUCCCUUAGUAGCGGCGAGCGAAACGGGAAGAGCCCAAACCAACAAGCUUGCUUGUUGGGGUUGUAGGACACUCUAUACGGAGUUACAAAGGACGACAUUAGACGAAUCAUCUGGAAAGAUGAAUCAAAGAAGGUAAUAAUCCUGUAGUCGAAAAUGUUGUCUCUCUUGAGUGGAUCCUGAGUACGACGGAGCACGUGAAAUUCCGUCGGAAUCUGGGAGGACCAUCUCCUAAGGCUAAAUACUCUCUAGUGACCGAUAGUGAACCAGUACCGUGAGGGAAAGGUGAAAAGCACCCCGGAAGG